UCUUUUUUUUCUAUCCUUUGCCAAUUAAAUUUAUAAAUAAUGUUUCAGUAGAAAAUACUAUUAAAAGAAUAUCGAACUCAAACGUUAAAUAAAAAAUUGGAAGUCCUUAUAAACUGACGUUAGAACUACAUGAGUCAACCACACAAACGGAAAAUAACUGACUUUUUUAGAAUAAAAUGGUAGUUCAUACUGGGUUUCAUAGCUAAACGAACCUCCCACUUAUAAGGCAGUAGUUUAUAGUUUUGUUCUUCAUUUGAUUGCCUUUUUGCAUUUUUUUCUUCGAGCGUCACUGAUGUGUUUUUUUGUAGACAAAACGCGUAUCUUGUGUACCCAAUUUUAAUCCUGGAUUUUACACUGGACGUUUGUUUAAAAUAUAUAUUUAGAUAAAAAACAUAAAAAUUCAAGUUGUAUAUCACAAAAAAAAGUUCUAUGCCUUUUGUUUAAUUCUAAAAACGUAAAAAACAGUAGUAUCACCUCCUGGUUGUAAUGGAAAUUAUUAAGGUAUUUUUAGAUAGUUGUCAUUUGGAAAUUUCGAGCAGAUUUCAUUACGCAAUGGCGCGAUUGAUCCAUGAUAUAUGUUUAUGAGGCGGUUGUGACAUGAAAUGAGUCAAUUGAAAUAUCUGAAUAGUGUGUACUUAUUAAUAUCGAAUGAUAUAUAGCAAAGAUCCAAAUGUCAUGUGUACAGAUAUGUUUUAAGUACAUAGAGUAUAGAUGUGACAAAGGAAGGAGAAGAAACUUUGUUAAAAGUCAUCAUUUUGAGAUAUUAAGAACUGUUCGAACAAAAAUAAGACAAUUGAACAGAAAGCCUCAUUCAGUAAAAUACAACUAGUGAACAGAAUCUAACGAUAACACGUUAACUUUAAAAACUAGAAUUCUUUUUAAUAUUCAAAAAAUCAAAGCAAAAAUCGCGGCAUCGAUGCUAUUUCAACCAGAUUCUUUAGAUACUAAUAUCAAUUAAGAUAUAACAACAGACACUGCAAUAUACCAAACAAGAACGUAAAAAAAUCAGUACAUAAAAAUCAUUUCUUUAUAUCGAUUUAUAGAUAGCAAAAUAAAAACUCAAUAUCAUAUCAAAACAUGCUCGCGUAUAACGAAAUAAACUCAAGGUACUUAACCUGCUGAUAUGAAUUCAUGACAUCUUACUCUCUGAUAUUAAUGAUUGUAGUUGAGGGUAGACUUCUUAAAAUAAAUUGUUCUUCUAUAACAUCCAGGAAUUAUUAUUUGAAGAUAUAAAUGAAAGUCUAUGCCAAAAAAUUUCAAGUCAUGUUUGCAAUUCUUUACUUUUCAUCGGAAUCAAUUUAACUUAAGUAGGAGGAGAUAUUUAAAUACACAAGUCAUGUGUCUGUAUAAAAGUCAUACAGCAGUAACAGCUUAUCAUAACAUAGAGUUAACCAGGAUAUAUCGAAACGGAUCCCUUUUGAUGACUUUAAGAUUAUUAUAUUUGAUUUUAGAAAAUGGCAAACAAUGAAACGUGUACUGAAUUUGAUGAUAUUUAUGAUGAUUACGAUCAUGAAAGCAACGUAUGUUCAAUUAGAUACAAGUGCAUAACGUUUUUAGAUUAUUAUUUCUAUGAAACUGAAUGUCACUGUAAAAUCCGAAAACCAGUUCGGCAAUUUUAUCACACACUAAGUGUUUGCCAACCCUACAUUAUAAAGGAAAUGCGUCAUGGACGUUUGCAUCAGCGUCUUUAUAUGAGAUGCUAUUGUGGCUAUGAGAAACGUUCAUCUUGUAUAAUUAUUUAAUAUAAGGUAAAAAUAUCAUCAAGAUGUGUUUUGAAAUAGAUGUAUCGACAGUGUCUGCUUUUCAGAUAAUAAAGGGAAAUACAGAUUAUUAUAUUAUUUUUGACAUUUAAAUUAUUUUAAAAAUGUGAAACAUCUCAUGUAAAAAAUGUAAAAGGUGUGUGUCUAAGGAAUAACAAUUGACAAGUGUUAGUAAAACAUAUUACAUUUAAAAAUCAAUAGUUCAGAGAACCAUUGAAGGUCUUUCCACAUCAAUUUUUUUAAAGUUGUUUUGAUGAAGCCUCUAUCAGUUUACUCAAAAAUACUAUUGGCGUCUAAUGACAGGUUUAUGCAUACUCAUUACAAAUAAAAUAUAUGUUUUCUAUGUAUUUUGGUCUAAAAUAAAGUGGUUAUUUGCUAA